rnacentral:rRNA from 1 species
CUACCAUGCAGUCGCACGAGAAAGGGUAGCAAUACCUGAGUACAGUGGCGCACGGGUGAGUAACACGUGAAUCAUCUACCUCCGAGUGGGGAAUAACUGAGAGAAAUCUUAGCUAAUACCGCAUAACACUUACGAGUCAAAGCAGCAAUGCGCUUGGAGAGGAGUUCGCGGCAGAUUAGUUAGUUGGCGGGGUAAUGGCCCACCAAGACGAUGAUCUGUAUCCGGCCUGAGAGGGCGCACGGACACACUGGAACUGAAACACGGUCCAGACUCCUACGGGAGGCAGCAGUGGGGAAUUUUGCGCAAUGGGGGAAACCCUGACGCAGCAACGCCGCGUGGAGGAUGAAAUAUCUUGGUAUGUAAACUCCUUUCGAUGGGGAAGAUAAUGACGGUACCCAUAGAAGAAGCCCCGGCUAACUUCGUGCCAGCAGCCGCGGUAAUACGAGGGGGGCAAGCGUUGUUCGGAAUUAUUGGGCGUAAAGGGUGCGUAGGCGGUUUGACAAGUCUUAUGUGAAAUCUUCGGGCUCAACCCGAAGUCUGCAUGGGAAACUGUCGGGCUUGAGUAUGGGAGAGGUGAGUGGAAUUUCCGGUGUAGCGGUGAAAUGCGUAGAUAUCGGAAGGAACACCUGUGGCGAAAGCGGCUCACUGGACCAUAACUGACGCUGAUGCACGAAAGCUAGGGGAGCAAACAGGAUUAGAUACCCUGGUAGUCCUAGCCCUAAACGAUGAUUGUUUGAUGGGGGGGGUACCCAAUCCUCCCGUGUCGAAGCUAACGCGAUAAACAAUCCGCCUGGGGGAGUACGUCGCAUGCUGAACUCAAGAUUGACGGGGCC